rnacentral:lncRNA from 1 species
CACAACAUUAUGAUGUUCCCCAAGUUUUGGACUCAAUCCGAUAUCGAUUGGUCCACGAAAUUGGAUAAUUCCGUUUCGUACGAAGUUUGUUCCUAAAUGGAGUGGUUGGUGUAUCGCAUAGGUCUAGAUGUGGGAUUUCACUCAAAACCCACCAAAGGACUCCUCCCACCGUAUUAUGAUGUUCCCUAAGCUUCGACCUCAAUACGAUAUCGAUUGGUCCAUGAAAUUGGACUAUUCAGGUUCGUACGAAUUUCGUUCUGAAAUGGAGUGGUUGGUGUAUUGCAUUGUUCUAGAGAUUGGAUUUCACUCAAAACCCACCACAUGACUCCUCCC